GCCUGCCUUAUGCUUACCUGUAAUUACCUGAAAGUCGAGCUUGCUUCUCGCGAUUAUUUGCCAGCGGUGCGAAUAUGGCGGAUGCAUUCUGGGGUUUACCGGGGGAUAACUAUUGGAAACGAUAGCUAAUACCGCAUAAGAGUAGAUGUUGCAUGACAUUUGCUUAAAAGGUGCAAUUGCAUCACUACCAGAUGGACCUGCGUUGUAUUAGCUAGUUGGUGGGGUAACGGCUCACCAAGGCGACGAUACAUAGCCGACCUGAGAGGGUGAUCGGCCACACUGGGACUGGGACACGGCCCAGACUCCUACGGGAGGCAGCAGUAGGGAAUCUUCGGCAAUGGGCGGAAGUCUGACCGAGCAACGCCGCGUGAGUGAAGAAGGUUUUCGGAUCGUAAAGCUCUGUUGUAAGAGAAGAACGAGUGUGAGAGUGGAAAGUUCACACUGUGACGGUAUCUUACCAGAAAGGGACGGCUAACUACGUGCCAGCAGCCGCGGUAAUACGUAGGUCCCGAGCGUUGUCCGGAUUUAUUGGGCGUAAAGCGAGCGCAGGCGGUUAGAUAAGUCUGAAGUUAAAGGCUGUGGCUUAACCAUAGUACGCUUUGGAAACUGUUUAACUUGAGUGCAAGAGGGGAGAGUGGAAUUCCAUGUGUAGCGGUGAAAUGCGUAGAUAUAUGGAGGAACACCGGUGGCGAAAGCGGCUCUCUGGCUUGUAACUGACGCUGAGGCUCGAAAGCGUGGGGAGCAAACAGGAUUAGAUACCCUGGUAGUCCACGCCGUAAACGAUGAGUGCUAGGUGUUAGACCCUAUAAGGGGUUUAGUGCAGCAGUUAACGCAGUAAGCAGUACGCAUGGGGAGUAGGACUGCAAGGUUGAAACUGAAAGGAAUUGACGGGGGCCGGCACAAGGGGUGGAGCAUGUGGUAUAAUUGGAAGCAAAGCGAAGAACCUUAUCAGGUCAUGAGAUGCUUCUGACCAAUGUAGAGAUAGAGUUUUCAUGAGGGACAGAGGUGACAGGUGGUGCAUGGUUGUGGUGAGUUUGAGUCGUGAGAUGGCGGGCUAAGUCCUGCAACGAGCGCAACAUCGAUGCUUAGUUGCGAUGAUGCAGUAGGACAUUGUAGUGAGAGUGCAGAGUAAUAAACAGGAGGAAGGUGGGGAGGAAGUGAAAUUAUCAGGCGCCUUA
rnacentral:rRNA from 1 species